rnacentral:lncRNA from 1 species
GUGGAAGAAUAUUUCAGUUAUGUGUAUGGUGCUGAUGGCAUGGGAAUCAGCAAAUUUGCACCAGAGUCCGAAGAUGAUUUGGGAGGUAACAUGUCGAUUAUGCUAUCCUGUCUAGUAUUUCCAGUUACACAUGUGAGCAGAUUCAGUUUUUGUGUACUCGCAAGCUCAUCAAGCUAAUGUACACAUAUUUGGUGUGCAUGCGGAUCAGGGAAGAUGGCGGGCAGGUCAAAAACGGCGCGCGUGUAGGUCAGAAACGCCUCCGUGUGGUUUGCUUGUGGAUGCCUCAUAACGUGCAGAUUGGAGUUUUUUCCAUGUUCUUCAGAUUUUUGCUUUCAUUGUGCCGGCCGGUUAGCUUGGUCCCCGUUACAGCUCAGAUAUUUUUGUGCGUUCUAUAAGCAUCGGUGAAGUUCAGAGUUUUGGGGUGUUCAGUGUACUCCCAAAUCACCCUUGUAGUUAUUUUCUUGCUGUUCUUAAUUUGUUCUUCCUGUGUGAUGCAGUUCUCUUCUGUCGGUGCUAUAGUGUGAUGCUGGGAAGGUGCAAAAGACAGUGCAGUUAGGUGUGCGGUCUUGGGCAUGGACGUGCAGCUCGACAACCACGGACAUGCAGCUCGGACGCGUGCGUGCAGCGGUUCAGUGCUCGUGUACUUGCAGGCUUUGUUGUUUUUGCGUGUGGGUGCAGUUCAUCAUCGCGGCGUGCGGUGUGCAGCUGCAGUUUGUGUAGGUCCUCUACACCCUCGCGCUCGUGCAGGUCCGUCUUGUCGUCAAUGCCUACAUCACUUCCCCUCAUUUUUGAAGCCAAGGGACGCUCGGGCGCCAUGGACAGAGAGGUAGUUGCCCCUCUUCUCCAACUCCAAUGACUCCUCUGGGUCCUCUCCAUCAUGCCCGUCACGUAGCAGUGCACUCCAGUGAGCCCAAUUUCUCCCCUCUUCUGCAAAUGCAGUGCAAUGUUGUUUUCUCUUGAGGUUCAGUGCACUAAUUUGUGCAGGGAGGAAAACAUGGCGUAGGAGAGCUGUAGGAGAUGGUGGCUACACCGGAGGCCAGACACUAUAAUGGUCGUGCUGCGGUCCACAUGCGCCUUGGCCGCUGGACAUAAAAUGCAUAUGUGUUCAUCGCCUACGUGUAGUUCCCAAGCGACGCAUCUGUAGUUUACUCAAGAAAAAAAUGCAAAGGAAAAGAAAACAAAGAAGUUCAUUUUGUUCUUUCUUUUGAGUUGGCGUUCAUUUUCCCAGGCGAACGCUAAGAUUCCAGUGCAGUGCACCUUGUGUGAUUCCAUUGUAGUGCACUUUCAUGAUUUUUUAUUCCAAAUGAUCACAUCUCGUUGUGUGCUCUUAUCAUUUUUUAAGAAAAUGUUGUGUGCUCUAUCAGCAGCCCGCAGCUCACGACACAGCGAUUUGCGAUUCUCCACCCUGUUGCAUGUGGUUUACAUCUUGCCAGACAGUUGAAUAUGACAAAAAAAUGUCAUGUCGUUUACUUCUAUUUGUGUCGCGGUUCACUUUCCUCCCAAUGUGUUUCGAAAGCAACUAUUUGCAUGAGAACCUAAAAGUGUGCUUGGUCUUAUGGACUCCUCUGUUGUACACUUGGUAAAUACAAAACAAAA